UGACCUUCAGUGAAGAUACAAGAGAGGAUAAAUUUAGCCCAUCCUUUUCCCACUGAUAAGAAGGAACCGCAUAUAUGAAAAUAAUUCCUAGUCCUACUUUCUAGUUACCAACAGGAUCUGGAGGUCAGACUACUUUCUGAGGGAAAGAAGGAGCAAUGAAAGCUAAAGCUAAGGCUACAGAGAUGAGGACCUGGGGAUGUUCUUUCUAAGUAUAUUACGUACAUUUGAGAGAUUGACAGCCCACAGUUUGAAGAGAAGCUCGGAGAGAAAUCCAUACCAUUCUUUGUCAUACUUCAUGAACUGAGUAAUCUCAUGAGAAAUGAGACCUUUAGCAGAAGACAGACCUGAGAAGAAUGUGGAUAUGAAUCUCCUACAAAAUAUUUUGUGUGUUACAGUAGCAAAGAACUACAUCAGUUGGCUCUCCUCCCUGCUGCUUAACCUGACUGCACAUCUCACCUCAGCGCUAUGUGUAGCAAUGUGGAAUCGUAGAGUCAUUUCACUGGGAAAGGACACUUAAAGGACAUCUAGACCAAUUCCCCUGCAGUGAACAGAGACUAGAUCACAGUGCUCAGAGUCCUGUCCAGAUUGACCUUGAACAUCCCCAAGGACCGGGCAUUCACUACAUGGGGACGUAAAAUUAAGUCACCAGGUAACUGGGUCUAAACAAACAGCAUAGAUUACUAACCCAAUCUGUAAUCAUGCCAUGGGUAUGCAUUGUGGUGCACUUGUUUUGUUCUUGGGUUGACUACCUUAUUUUUGGCCUAUCUUGAGGCAGAAUACUAAACCAUAUGGACCUUUGAUUAGGUCUGACUUAGUAUGAAGCUAUUAUGAUGCUUUAUUUGUAUUUCAUGCAUAACUCUCUUCAUUUAUUCCCCAGAUGCAUGUACAAAUGCAAGCUUUACUAACAUUUCCACUCAAUCAGGACGCAGCACAUGCUUUACUUCAUGAUUACUGUUUCACAUCUGAACUGAGUAGCAUCCAGAAAUAGGAAACAUCACUCAGAAACAUCAGCAUGUUGCAGAAAAGAAGGAUGAAACAUCUUCACCCAUGGUGGAAACAGCGUGAAUAUACAUUUGUCAUAUAGUUUAUAUAUUUUGCUAAAAGUCAUAGAUUUGAUAUAAAAGGAGUGAUCAUGGGGAACAGCUUGAUAUUCUCUUGAAUAAAUGAGAUGUGCCAUCUGCCUUGCCUUCAAUAUAUGGGCAUGUAUUAUGGGCUUAGUGAUAAAAAGAGGCAAUGAGGUUGGUGAUGAGCAGGGUGAGUAGAAGUGUUACACAGAAAGACUGGUGGCAAGGUUUGAGGUGCUGACACCACCUAAUGAGUGCCACUGCGGCACCAGGGCUGGAGAGCUUACUUGCAUCCCCAAGGACACAGAGGAAUGGGGCACGUAAGUAUGCAUAUGAUGUGCUUCUCAGGAUUAUUUGUGGGCCUAUUUGAUAAGGAAACUUUGUUUCCUCUGCUCCUCCAUCAAGAGAGAGAAAAAUUAAGCAAUGCUUUUUUUGUAUUAUUUGAGGAGCUGUGUGAACAUGUACAUAUAUAUGUGUGUGUUUAUAUAUAUGGCAUGUGCAUGAAUGUAUUCCAAUAUUCAACUAAGAGUGCAGGCAGUGCAGGAUGUGCACUGUCUGUACUAUAGCACACUGAACUGGCACAAUGAGGAAUUACACAUGUAGAUGUAUGUUGUGUCAUUUACAGUGUGUAACCACACAGUUUUUACUACGUGAUCAAUCUUAUAAUGAAAUGUGCUAUGUGAAUUCAUAGCUCAUAUGGGCUAACAGUGAAGGUCAAAUGCAAAAGUUUGUUGAAGUGUCACCGGUGGAAAGACAGAAUCAAUUGUUCCUACAUUUUAAUAAGUAUUCAAAUGGAUGGUUCUUUCUGUCUCUCCACCACCCUUUGCAGCACUCAUAUUAGACCAUAACAUUUGUCUGGCACUGACUUUCAAAGAGAAGUGAAAUUAUUUAUUCAUACCACUAAAUUUAUUUUAUUUUUAAAAUAUAUUAUUGCAGAAAUUUUUGUAUUAAAUAUUAGAAUGUUUAUAGAUUCUUUUACAUUACUAGUAGGUAACAUACUACUAGCUAUUAGGAUUAUGCAGUACUGCUUUUCCUGUGUGUCUUUACAAAGAAAAGUCAGUCAAAAUAGUAUUUUUCUAAUAAAUACUGAGAGGAUUGAGUUAGAAAAAGCAUUGAUUUAGAUUCAUUUAUCUUUUCUUUUAACUUCAUAGCUGUGGUAAGAACUGGAAUUUACUGUAAAUGUGCACAGAGCAAGUGUUAAUAGAUGUUAUCAGCUACAUUGACAUUUCUGGGUUGGGUUUCCUACUUUGGACUACAGGACUUGAGUCACAGUCCUAUCAAGCAGUGGACUGAUGCUAAUUAGAUUUUUAUCUGACCUCGUGGGUAUUAAAGUAGCUACUUGCUAGCUGAAAAAGUACAGAACUGGGUCCUUGUGUCUUAAAAAAAGGAGUAUAUAUAUAUUCUAGCUCACUGGAAGAGAUUUCUGUCUCACCUGAUUUAUUUACCAUUCUACCUUUCCUUUCUUUCUUUAGGAACUUCUUUGCUCAUCUACAAAGUUCAUCAUUAUUCUUUGAACAGUCAUUUCUUCAAAUAAAUAAAAUGCUAGGAAUGUCACUGCAAGCAGAAAUGUUACUGGGCAUUAUACUCUUCUCUUUUGUUGAUCAAUUUGAUAGAGGUUUAUUGAGGGCUUUCCAAUUUUCCAACUAGCAUACAGGGAGAAGCACCAUUAAAAUGUGGUUCUGUGGUGACACAAAGCUGGUCAACGUUCUAAGUAAGGCACUAUUAAAGUGGAAAAGCAAAUUCAUUUUAUGAAAUAUUGAAGGUUUAAAGUAACUUUAAUUUUACAUUAUAUUUAUUUUAUGAUGAUUGUGAGACUGGGUUUUCACAGAAAAAUCUACUACUGAGAUUUAGAGCAUGGAGUCCAGCCAGGGGAUGGCUGAACUAGAUUCUUUAUUGUUUUUUAGGAAUAAAAGGGUUUUUGUUAUUUUUCUCCAUUUGCAUUCGAACAAUUGUUAUUUUGGAUCUGACAGAUUCUUUCCACAGCCUCGCCUUUCCUAGCUCUCCCUUGAAGCCUUCUCUGCAUAAGAAUUAAUCCUAGCAAAUGUAUAAUUGAAAUUGAUUCAUUUUUGCAAAACAUUUUGCUUCAGCCAAAUUGCAUUUUUUGUAGCUGAAAAAAAAAAUAAUAUGACAGGUUGUAAUUAUAUUCUCUACAUAGCCAUUGGGAAGAAAGUAUACAGGAUCAAAGUGGUAAAUGAGAAUGUGAGUUACUCAUAAUUUUUUAUUCUCCUGCAUAGAAUAAUAGUAAGCCUCAUCUAUCUUAGAAAGACAUGGCACACAUCCAGACACCAGGUAUUGUCUAUGUCUCUGUUUACAGCGAUUGCAUAAAAUGAUCAGUAUUGAACAUUCAGUGGAAGCAGAUUGCAGGCACAGCAUAAUUAGGUUGCUUAGGUGACUGCCUUUGGAUAAACCAAUUUCUAAUAAACUGUGUGUUGGUAUGCUUAUUCUCAACUUCUCCAAAAUAUACAUGCUGCUUACUUAUUACUGCUCACCUUUUCUUGUGCAAGGGUAGAUUUUACUCAUGAAAUGCCCUGAGAGUAGAUUUUAGUGAAGAAAGGAGCUAUGCUAGUGCUGAGCUCUUUAAGAAAUCUCAGCUACCAAAAUCAGUGAUUGACAUUUCAGACAACAGACUUGUGUUUCCUGACAUUUUUAGUUUUCUUUUAUUCCCCUCUAUCUCUUCUUCCUUCUUGGCAGGGGACAAUAUAUUUUUCCCUCUAGAUAUAGACCUUGUUAUAGAUAUUCCAGUGAUAUGGUCUGAGUCCAAAAGCAGUAAGGCACAUAUGCACAUAUGGAAAUCAUUCUAAAAUCACAUCAUAUAAUGUUGUCAAAACUAAGAAGAUGGCUUUUUAAUGAAUGGAUCGGAUUAACUAAACUGUAGGGUUCUGCAGGCCUGAGAUUUCCCAGCUGGCUUCUUGGUUUGAUAGUAAACAAACAGACUCAGUCAACAUAUUUUCUGGCAUAUCUUCCUCCCUAGGGAAUGCCAAACUUCUACACCUGAGACAAGGCAGGAGAGUAGUCAGAAAGAUCAGGAGUUGGAGGGAGGCAGUGAGACUGUCUGAUCUUCAGUGGAUGAGGUUGGACACAUGGGAGUCUGCAUCUCAGGGUGGCACAUAAAAGAGAAAAGUCAGCUAGGUCUGGUAUUCUGAGCCUCACAUCGAGGUGUAACAGCCAGUAUGUAAGGCCACCCUGUAAUGCAGUGUACAAACUACCUCAGGAGCUAAAGCUCUCUCCUAGCUGUUUUCUGUAGUGUCUCCUCCCCUGACUACUCAGCAUCAGUUCUAAAUGCCUAUUUCUUUUUCCAUCUUUUUCCUCUGAAGCAGCUGAAAAUGGUUUCUCUCUUCUGUGUGGAAGUCAGGUGCAAGUUGACAAGAAGUACUCUUUCCAGUUAUUUUCGCUUUAGUUGUUCUGAAUAUGUAUUGUAUGAAUUCUCUUGUGGCUGCAAAAUCUAGUUCAGGUUAUCAACAGUACAGUUUUGUGGGCAUAGCAUUUCUAAAAAUAUAUUAUAAGCUGCUGUAUAAUCAGCCUGUCUCCUUCUAAGCGUUCUAUUGAAUAGUUACUCAAUACCAAGAAGGUACUCUCAUCUUGAGGAUGCCAACUACAUGGCUCCAAACAAAGUCUGAGCUUUGCCAUACUAAUACUGGUGGCAAGCAGGGACAGGAUUUAACGACUUUGUAGGUCAGACUGACAGUUGGAUUAGAUGUUCUGGAAGGUCUUUUCCAAAUAAAAUGAUUCUUAGAUUUCUACAGAUUUGUAGAAUAUAUGUAACUGAAGCCUGUGUUCUUAAAAUGCACUAAAAAUCAUAUUAUUAACAACAUUUUAAAAUGCAUAAUAAUCAAGUUGUCAUCUAUUGUAUGUUUUUUACCCCAGCCAAGCUGUCAGCUCUAAUAGGUUAUGCAUUAUCCUGCAUGCUAGAUAUCUAUAUUUUUAAAUUCUUCAUCCUUUAGAUCACAAAGGAAAUAACCUUGAACCUGUACCUAUUCACUGUUUUACAAGAGAAGAUUCACCACAUAAGGGAAUCUUAUUAUCAUUCAUUUAAAAUGCCUUUGACCGCAUUCACACACAUAGCACCACUUUCUGCUUUUGUCUUUGUCACUUUAUUUUCAUCAUUUCUACUUUUUGUCUUUCUACCAUUUGGUUUUCUGUUGGCAUUUCUCUACUUCUGCAUGUGGCUACUUUUAAAAUCUUCAUUGGAUGCCAUUUUACUUCCAAAGUAUUUCUUUCAGUGAGCUGUAGACUUUGCCGUGUUUUCUACCCAGGGAUAUAUACUUUCUCCUGAAACCUGAAUACAAGCCACUUUUUUAAGAUUUUGUUUUACAAUAAACAUGUGUUCAUUCACAAUAGGAGUGUUUUUAUCACUGUGCAAUCUGAGUUUUAUCUCUCCAUGUUCAAUAUGACUGUCUUUUUAUCAACAUGAUUUAAUGAAAUACAAGAGAUCAUAUUAAAUUAUGUAUCAGUGUCUAAAUUGUAAGUCAUAAAGCGUCUUUCAUAUUCAAGGUGAUAUACAAAGCCUCUGAAUGUGGCCUUAUCUUGAGCAGCUCCUAUAAAAAAAUUUAGUUCUUCGUUCAAUGUGUAUUUGAUUCAUAUUUUGUUUCUCUUUAGGUAGCUUCAGUUCUUUGAAUGCAGGCUUCUGCAGAAUGUUUACAUUUCACAUAUAAUGACCUUGUUCAAGCACAAAAUAGUGCUAAGGGUUUUGUGUCACCUUCAGGAUUUUGACUUACCUUUUGUGCCAUCUUACUUCUAUUCAUUUUAAUAGAACUUUGCAAAUAUGUCCUUUCAACCUUCAGCUGUUUUCCUUUUUCAUGCUUCUUAAGUUUUAAUAUUUACUAACUAGGGACACUGUUUUGUUUUCUGUCCAUCAGUUAGUUUGGUCAGUUUUCAUUUUAUUCUUUCUGAUACUGCCUUAUUUUAUUAUGUAAUUAAUUGUUUGAGUAAUUUAUUAAUAAUUCUCAGGUAAAAUCUUCCAAUAAUCUUACUCAGUGGCCUGGAUUUCUAAAGCCAUUACUGUUUAAGUUCAGAUUAAAGAUUUCAAAGGAAUUUCUAUUCAACAGAUGUUGGAUUGAGCUUCAGACUUGUUGUAAAGGCUUUUUCCAUGUUUUUUCCCAUCUUGAUGUUCCCAGAUGAAAUUGUUCACUUUCAAAAAAAAAUUCUCUCUAGGGAAGUCAUAUUUUUGAAACUUGUAGACUAAACUGAUAACUGGUUUUGAUAUCUUUCAUUUUGCAGUAGGCUGCUAAACAGAUUCUGGUUCUCCAAAAGGUCAUUUUAAAAAGCCAAAAACUGUAUUUCCACCUGGGUUCAUGAGAAGCCAAAGUCCUACUAUAAUUCUUCCAGUUUUCUGCUGCACUUCUAUGCUGCAUUUGUCCAUAUUUCCUUCUAUCCUUACCUUUUUCUUCUGUUUUGUUUUUAGAUUUGUUCCUCCUUAUACCAUAUAUAGCCUGACAGGUUUUUCAGGGACAGAAGGUCACCACUUAACAGCUGCUAAGGUAUCUUGUAAUAUAGUGUGAGAUAACUCUGAUGAGGCUUCAAACCAGCAGGCAAAGCUGUCAAGACUUUUUUUUUUUUUUUUCUUCUGGAUAGUGAGCUUCCCAAGGAAGAUAAAAAGAUAUUUAUGUUAUGUUUUGUUUAUUUUUUUCUUAAAAAAAAAAAACAAACAACUAGAGACCUGUUGGUACAAGUUUUAAAAGAGAAAAAAAGCAGACAAGCCAAUUUACAAAGCCAACUCUUUCUCCAGUCUCAGUGUCCUUGUAAAAGGACAGGUUUCUACGCUGGGUUUUAGCCAAUUUCUGGCUCCCUGGAUUGUAGCAAACCCUAUUGAGCUCCCUGAGAGAGACCAAGUAGUUAUUUCUAAUGCUAGACUUUUCAUACCCUGCUUUUCCUAGCAUUUUCUAAAUUUCAUAAUCAUUUACAGACUUCUUGAUCCUUUCUGUGUCCCUUUUCUUCUAAUGACUUGAUGAUUUCUUUCCACCAGGAAGGUUGACCUGACUCGUCACUCCAUUUGUCUUAAAAUAAUAAAAUAAACAAAUCCAGAGCAAGAGAAACAGAGAAGUUAUCACAGAAGAUGCAGAAGCUUGCCUCUGACUGCUAAUAAAUAUAAGUGAUUACAGCAGCUCUCUCAAACCAACCUUUCCAGUCUCUCCAUUGCAAUUAACUGUACAACCAGGUUAACCAUGAUAUACAUGUAACUUUCAUAGUAGUUGAAAGUAAUAUUUGUUUCUGAAUCUGUGUAUUUCUACAGUUUGAUUGCUGAUGUUAAGGAAAACCUCUCUUGUCUAUUUCCCUUCUCAUUUUCUGGUAUAUUAAAAAUAGAAUUGGUAAUCUGAAAGACAAAUGAUAUUUAUGCCUCUUUUGUAGUUAUGUCAAAAAUCCCAAUAGGCCAUUACUUCAAGCAGAAUUGGAUCCAUUAGAUGAAUAUUGGUACUCUGUCCUGCCCACAACCUGGAUGCACACGGGGGCAGUGAUGACCAAAGUAGAAAGGACAAAAACAUACCUGGGCAAAAGCUUUCAUUUUUAUUUUCUCUAGAGACAUAGACUAGAUUAGCAUAAAUUACUUGUGAAAGUUCAUCCCAGUUCAGAGGCACGAAGCUUACUGAAUUCAGCCUUAAGAAUGACUUUCUCCAGUGUUCACAAAAAGUGUCUACUCCUGUCCCCUUCAACUAAGUGCAACCAUUAUCCAAUCCAAAAACUCAUACAGUUGCUCUAUCAUGCUAUACCAUGGCCAGACAGGCAAGGGAGGCAAUUGUCCCCCUCUACUCUGAGGUGCCAGCUAGAGUACUGCAUCCAAGUCUGGCGCCCCUAAAACAGUAAAGGUGUGGAUCUGUUGGAGAGGAUCCAGAAGAGGGCUUGUUCAGCCUGGAAAAGAGAAUGCUGUGGGGAGACCUUGUUGAAGGCUUCCAAUAUUUAAAAGGAAUUUAUAAGCAUGAAGGAAGUCAACUUUUUACAUAGGUAGAUAGUGGUAGGACCAGGGGGAAUGAUUUUAAAUUAAAGGAGGGAAGAUUCAGAUUAAAUGUCAGGGGGAAGUUUUUUACUGAGGAAGUGAUGAGGAGCUGGAACAGGCUGCCCAGAGAGGUCAUGGAUGCCCUGUCCCUGGAGAUGUCCAAAGCCAGGUUGGAUGGGGCAUUGGGCAACCUGGUCUAGUGCUUGAUCUAGUGGCCGGCAACCCUGCCUGUGACAGAGGGGUUGGAAAUUGGUGGUUCUUAACGUCUCUGCCAAACCAAGCCAUUCUAUAAUUCUAUAAUAAUUUUGUGGCUAAACAAUAUUAAUGCAUGAGUGUAAUUUCCAUGAUGAGGUGAUUUGAAGCUGUUUGAUAUGAUGCAUAAGUUGAGAAGUUUAUAAGUGCCUAAAUAUGCUUUCCUGAAUUCUUGACUGCAUAAUUUUUUUGACAAAAAGUACUAUAUCGCUCAAACACAGGUUCUCAACAGCUCUAUUCAAAUGAUGCUUUGACAAAUGUUUCAAAUAAUUAAAUUUAAUGAGGAGCUCGGGAAAAAAAAUAAACUAUUCAUACUGUCCACUGGUCCACUUUGUGUGCUUAAAUAUAUUUAACAUCCAUGAUGGAGAAUGUGCAUUUUUCUUUCUAGAAAAGCUUCCCAGGUGGUUCCUGAUGCAAAAUUGAUGAAAUUUUACAUCUUAAUAAAAACAGUUCCUGCAGAUACAGAAAAGGUCAUGUAGGAAUUUUGUGUGUUAGAGGUGUUUUUAAUGUAGUUUAACGCAGCCAAUUUCAGUGCAUUGUGAAUGUGCUAGUCUGGUAACAUUAAGACUAUAGACCAGCUGGAUUAUAGGAAUUGAGUGAAACAAUGGUUCAGGGAUCUUUGCCCAGCCUAGAUGAAGGCGUCAUUGCAAGGAUCAUUAUAACAGAGGCUUCCACUGACCUUACAUUUUAAGAGAUUUGAUCCCCCUCUCCCCUGCAAGCCCUACCUCUGCAAAGAUCUCAAAAGUAAAUUAGUUUUUUAAUAAAUGUUCUGCCUGUGACUGUCUGUGUAACAAAUUAUAGGUCUACUACUGUGAUUUGAGCAAUGGUCUGGGCAGAUUUUCAAAAGAGCAUUGGGGCUGAUUAGCAUCUAGCAGUUGAUUUUUAAAUUUCAGGGAACUGGAAAUGGAGAGGACUUUAUCUUCCAAAAUGAGAGCUGUGGAAUAUUAAACACUUGUCAAAACUUGCACAACCAAGAGCGAGGUGGUUCAUUUGUGAAAAUCUGGUGUUAAUUGCUGCAGUCUUGUGGUAGGACACACUUUUCUCCCAGCUGAAAACUAACAGUUUAGUGUAAGCUUGUGAAGCAGUCCACUGUUCAAUGAAGAAAAGUAGUUAUAAGGUAACUCAUUAGAAGGAGCAGUGUUUGAAACCAGAACUUGUAAUUACAUGUAUUUUAGAAUUUCUUUUCCGUGUUUAUUAGAUGCUUCUUUUUCUCUUAAAAAAUAUAUUGUUUCUGAAAUAUAUUAUAAAUCAGUAUAGCAAUUAUAAGUAUUAUAAAGACUGUUCCAAAAGUAAUGACUCCUAUUUUACUAUGGUGGUCCACAGUGCCAUAUAGUUUUUGAUGCUAUGGCAGUAGAAAUUGCACCUUUUCACCAAAAUAUGUGUUGUUACCAUGUGAUAGAUGGCAGCAGAGGGGCAGUCUGACAUGAAAGUGCAUAGAAAGAAAAGAUGUGUCACUGAAUUUCUCUGGGUGGAAAAAAAAGGCACCCACUGAUAUUCAUCAACACUUGCUGAACAUUUACGGAGACCAAACAGUGGAUCUGAGUACAGCGAGGCAGUGGGAGGUGCGUUUCAGAAGUGAUGAUAGUGACAGUGAGUCACCGCUGCUGGCUCAGAUAUUUAUGAGCGCAUCAUGCAGGCUCUUGUUAAUCACUGGUGAAAAUGCAUAGCUAGUUAGUGUGACUGUGUUGAAAAGUAGCGUUUUGUAGCUGAGAAUUUGCUUUAUCAAAUAGUGGUAUUGUACUCUGUAUUUCCACUGAAACGAGGAACCUAUGUAGUUCAAUUGGGAAAAAAAACAUCUUCUGUGCCUUUGGAUGUACUGCAGAAGUAAAC